rnacentral:lncRNA from 1 species
AUGGCUCUCACAAAUCAAGAGACCUCUGCUUAGCUUUUCUUUUCAUUUUGGCCAUUUGCUCCUCUCAAGCAUCGUCUCGCCAAAUUUAUGAUGAGAAAACCAUGUUGGCGAGACAUGAAGACUGGAUGGCUCAAUUUGGGCCAGUUUUUUAUAUAAGGAUGCUGAGGAGAAAGAGAGGCGAUUCGUGAUAUUCAAGGCCAACUUGGAGUUCAUUAAGGCUUUUAACAAACACAUGAGCCAGAACUACUUCACUCUAAGCUUAAAUGAAUUUGCAGACCUAACCAAUGAGGAGUUUCAGGAAAUUCGUAAUGGUUACACGAAACGAUCCUCCAAAUCGAUCAUGUCCAAUUCCACGAAAGCUACAUGUUUUAGAUAUUGAAAUGUCACUGAUGUGCCACCUUCAGUGGAUUGGAGAGAAAAGGGUGACGCCUAUCAAGGACCAAGGCAAAUGUGGUAAGUAUUAAACAAGUUGUUAAAUGAUGAUGCAUUCGUUGUUUCACAACAUAACAUGUUAUUGAGUGAUGAGGCAUGUUAUUUCAAUUUUAUAGGGUGUUGUUGGGCUUUCUCAGCAGUGGCAGUGACAGAAGGGGUUAACAAGCUCAAAACCAGAAACUUAAUCUCACUAUCAGAGCAAGAGCUUGUGGAUUAUGACACUACAGGUCAAGAUCAUGGCUGUGAAGGUGAUCUAAUGGAUGACGCUUUUCAAUUCAUCCAACGCAACAAAGGCUGACAACUGAAGCUAAUCACUCCUACCAGGGUAUAGAUGGAACUAGUUGCAACACUCAGAAGGCUGCAUCCCAAACAGUGUCCAUAAACGGGUCGAGGAUGUGCCUAAAAACAACCAAAAUGCUAUGUUGCAAGCCGUCUCUAACCAACCAAUUUCGGUUUCCAUUGACGCAAGUGGCUGUACAUUCCAGUUUUAUUCAAGUGGUCUGUUCACUGUGGUAUAAACUUAGAUCAUGGUGUUACCGCAGUUGGAUACGGGACUGGUAGUGAUGGGACUAUAUACUGGCUGGUGAAGAAUUCUUGGGGCACAGGGUGGGGGAAGGGUGGAUAUGUGACGAUGCAAAGGGGCAUUCCUGCCAAGGAAGGACUCUGUGGCAUUGCAAUGGAAGCUUCUUAUCCAACCGCAUGA